CUCUUAUGUUUGUGUUUUUGCUUACCUGUGAAUAAAGACUUAUGGACACAUGCAAAAAAAAUAAAUAAAUAAAUCCUAUCUUGCAACCCAGAACUCAUUGUUCAGUGAAUUUUGAUACAUACAAGAAGUAAUGUU
rnacentral:snoRNA from 1 species